rnacentral:rRNA from 1 species
UACGGAGGGUGCGAGCGUUGUCCGGAAUCAUUGGGCGUAAAGGGCGCGUAGGUGGCCUGCUAAGCGUGCGGUGAAAGUCGGGGGCUCAACCCCCGAUCCGGCCGUGCGAACUGGGAGGCUUGAGCACUGUAGAGGCAGGCGGAAUUCCGGGUGUAGCGGUGGAAUGCGUAGAGAUCCGGAAGAACACCAGUGGCGAAGGCGGCUAUCUGGACGGUUUCUGACGCUAAGACGCGAAAGCGUGGGGAGCAAACAGG